CAGCCGGUCGACAGAUGUGCCAGAAGGGUAUCAGGGCACUGAUACCACACUUGGAGACAUGACAGUCAAUACUACCAGCGCGAGUCAUAUUUUAGAUGUCUACUAGGGUACUAUUGAUCAUAUGGGCGAAGAUGAUAGCAUUC